rnacentral:tRNA from 1 species
GGGAAUGUGGCUUAGUGGUAGAGUUCUUGCCUAGCAUGCAUGAAGCCCUGGGUUCGAUUCCUCAGUACCA